rnacentral:rRNA from 1 species
GACGAACGCUGGCGGCGUGCUUAACACAUGCAAGUCGAACGGAAAGGCCCUGCUUUUGUGGUGUGCUCGAGUGGCGAACGGGUGAGUAACACGUGUGUAACCUGCCCUUGACUUUGGGAUAACUUCAGGAAACUGUGGCUAAUAUCGUAUAGGAUCUCCUGCUCCAUGGUGGGGGUUGGAAAGUUUCGGCGGUUGGGGAUGGACUCGCGGCUUAUCAGCUUGUUGGUGGGGUAGUGGCUUACCAAGGCUUUGACGGGUACCUGGCAUGAGAGGGUGAACGGACACAUGGGGACUGAGAUACGGCCCAGACUCCUACGGGAGGCAGCAGUGGGGAAUAUUGCACAAUGGGAGGAAGCCUGAUGCAGAAACGCCGGGUGCGGGAUGACGGCCUUCGGGUUGUAAAAAGCUUUAGCCUGUGACGAAGCGUGAGUGACGGUAAUGGGUAAAGAAGCACCGGCUAACUACGUG